rnacentral:rRNA from 1 species
AACGAACGCUGGCGGCAUGCCUAACACAUGCAAGUCGAACGAGACCUUCGGGUCUAGUGGCGCACGGGUGCGUAACGCCUGGGAACCUGCCCUUAGGUUCGGAAUAACUCCCCGAAAGGGGUGCUAAUACCGGAUAAUGUCUUCGGACCAAAGAUUUAUCGCCGUUGGAUGGGCCCGCGUUGUAUUAGCUAGUUGGUAGGGUAAAAGCCUACCAAGGCGACGAUCCAUGGCUGGUCUGAGAGGAUGAUCAGCCACACUGGGACUGAGACACGGCCCAGACUCCUACGGGAGGAAGCAGUGGGGAAUAUUAGACAAUGGGCGAAAGCCUGAUCCAGCAAUGCCGCGUGAGUGAUGAAGGCCUUAGGGUUGUAAAGCCCUUUUACCCGGGAUGAUAAUGACAGUACCGGGAGAAGAAGCUCCGGCUAACUCCGUG